UAAGCGCCCGUCACUGAUGUACCCCACAUCAGUAACAAGAAGUUAGUGAUGGGCGGUCUGCCCGUUACUGAUAGCCAUUUUCGACCGUUACUGAUAAGUGUUUUUGUAGUAGCGAAACCCCUUAACUGGGACUAUUGUGUCACUUUAGUCAAAAACGGUUCGGUGAGGUUUAACUUGUUAGGUUGAUCUCCUCCCGAGUGGGCCCAACGGCCCACCGGGCCCUUCGAUCCGCGCCCUGAUCAGGGACCCUGUUACACUGCGCAGUACGCCCCACCGAAAAGCCCUACCGAUCUAGGUUGCGCAGGAGUAAUGGGAAGCACCGCCGCCUAGCCACACCCGCUCUCGCCGUCGCUCUCGUCACCAUGACGAACACGUCGGCCUCGUCGAGCCAAGGAGAAGGUACCCCUCCUCCUCCUCUUCCAUCUCUCUCUCUCUCUCGAUCCCCAUACCGAUGCCAAAUUGAAUCACAGAAAGUAUACUACCGACUAGAUCUACACCUAGAUGAUUCUAGGAAUCUAACAACGGUAUCAGAGCUUACUAGGGUUGUAAAUCUGCUCGGGUAGAAAAGAAAAGGAAGAAAAAAACAAAAGAUAAACCCUAACCCUAGUUCUUACCCGAAAAGAGAAGAAGUGCCGACCGCCAUGGCCGUCACCGUGAACUCGCUGGCAUGAGGCGCCGCCGCUGAGUCAGUGUUUUAUUUUACCAACAACGUCAUGUGUGGUUGCUCAUCAAGAAGGUUGUGUGCCGGUCAAAGCCUAGAUAUGAGAUUAUGUGCUAC
rnacentral:lncRNA from 1 species